rnacentral:lncRNA from 1 species
CGGGAGCCGCUUUCAGUGGGGACUUGAAUGCACUAACUGCUGACUCUCAGGACCUUCUAGAAGGAGGAGCUGGGCUCCCACUUUCUGAGCUCUGCUGGAACCGAUGCCCAAGGUCACCUGGGUCAUGAUGUUGAAUAUAUACAUGUGAGGAGAGGAUUGGUGCCCUGCUGUCUUCACUGGCACUCCCCAUCUUGUACACACAGUGGCUGCCUACUGCAGUUGCCUGCAGCUCUAUGCCUGAGGGUGUCCAUUGGCUUCCUUGGCUUCUUUGACUGUGGAAGUGAGCUCUUCUGCCAGAUGCAGGCUUGUUUCUGGGGAGAAAUCCUGAGCCAAACUCAGAGGAACAGGAGCUGCUUUCAGUUGGGACUUGAAUGCACUAACUGCUGACUCUCAGGACCUUCUAGAAGAAUGAGCUGGGGUCCCACUCUCCGAUUUCUGCGGGAACCAGAGGCCCAGCUUGUCCAUAUUUUGCUUGACCAUUUCAUCCUUGGCCCUGAUGUUCUUGUAAUUCUGUGGAAGCUUACCAUUAUUAUUGCCUCCUUGGGAAUUUGUGCAUUUCUCAUUUACCUCUGGAGAACUGUCCUUGCUGUGGGUCCAGAUGUGAGAGGGUUUCCUCAGCCCACCUGCAUGCCCUCUCAUAUGGGCCAAACUUUACCAGGCUUCAUUGGCUCUGGGCUACCUCAGCCUCCUCCACCUUGGUCGACAUGGGGGCCUCCCCCGCACCUCGUUCCUACAUGUGGGCCUCAGUUCCAUUCAGAAGGCUGUGGCGCUCAAGGGGACAACAGUGGCACCGCACCCAAGAAGGACCCAGAAAAGGACAAGGUAAAUACGGUGGCUGUUUCCAGUUGUAACCAUUUCUGGAAUCCUGUUCCUGUCUGGGCAGCACUGUGUCCUGGCCUUGUGUCUGUUGGGUAUAUCUUGGGAUCUGUGUGUGGUGCUGUUUACCUUUUAAAAUGCCAAGUCUUCAUGCAGGAGCCUACAGGCUUCUGUGUUUCCAGUUCGUCACCUUUGGGAUGUGUCGGUGGAACAAAGGCAGAGUUUGUGCAGAGGUCUUGACAUUGCAAGGGAAACCCUGCCUGAGAUGUUUUAAUAUCCUGAAGUUUCUCAGGACAUAAUGCAUUGUGCUUGGCUAUUUCCUCACACUGAGCAGUGGGGCAGGUGCCACUGUUGGGAAGGAAGUGUCUCUGUUGCACAAUGGCAGACAUGUGGACUCUGGACAUGCACGACAGUAAGAAAUACAUUUGUUGUUCUGGGAGGAAUGAAACACCUCUCACUUCAUGUGCAGUGUGUUGAGUUUGACCUGACAUUUCAUUAGUUAUAGAAACCACUGAAGUGGGGCUCUGGUCCCUUGAUUCAUCGUUAGGGUUGGGGUCUGCCCCAUCCUCUGCAACCUGUGGAUACUUGGGGGAAGCCCUCUUGUCCGGUCAGGGAGGUGAGAACGAGAGGCAGUGGCAGAUGCUGGAGGCAGGUGUGGAGGUUUUGUGGGAAUGUGGCUCAGUCACUUCCUAUGGGCUUGUCCUCUGUCUUUUCUGUGGCGUGUGUCAGAGACAGACGCCGGUGUGUCCCCCAUAAGGAAUAGCAGUCCUGCGUGCAGGCGUCUCAUGUCAUGGGGGAGUGAAUGUUGCUGAGGACGUGAUCACUUUCUCCAAGUUGCUCAGGAGAUCCAUUUGAUGGACUUCAUCUUUCACUCCUACUGAGGUGGUUGGCAGGUCCCUUUGCGGUGAAGGAGAGCCUCUCUUCUCCGAGAGCUCAGCACAGCAGGUGUGCGCACGGACGCUGUACAGAGACCAUAUCCUGCGCUCUGGAAGG